ensembl:lncRNA
GUGUUCUACAGGGGUUCUACGGGGUUCUAUGGGGUUCUAUGGGGUUCUACAGGUGUUCUACGGUGUUCUACAGGUGUUCUACGGGGGUUCUACGGGGUUCUACAGGUGUUCUACAGGGGUUCUACGGGGGUUCUACAGGUGUUCUACAGGGGUUCUACAGGGGUUCUACGGGGUUCUACAGGGGUUCUACGGGGGUUCUACAGGUGUUCUUUGAGUGGUUAGAAGUUCUAUGUGGAACUUUAUUAUAGGGUUCUAUAACAGAUUAAUAAUAAUUCAUUAUAUAGCUUUACUGUAAUUGACUCCAAAUCCCACUUUACUAAACCCUCUUAUUUUAAACAUUUAAUAAAUCUGUAAAUUAUCUAGCAAACUCUAAUCAUUUCUCCACACCAAAGUCUAAAUCAACUGAUAUUAGCUAAUCUAAUGUUACAACCGUCUGCGUAACGUACCCAGUCUGCUUCUAGUUGAUCCCAAAUUCCUGUCAUUUUUAAAAGCACACCCUCAUGUUCCCCUUCAUCUUCCCACAUCUUUAUCCCAAACUCUCACUGCUGUAUAUAACUCGUUAUAUAUCACCUCAUUAAAGGUUUAAAUAAUGAACAUUGUGCAGCUCGGUUUAUCGACACAAAAUCCCUCUACACGCUUCUUCUUCCUCCUGCAGACCUCAGUGUGUGGUGUAAUGGUGAAUCCGCAGGUGUCCCUCAGGGCUCCAUCUUACAUCCCGCCCUGUUCUCUAUGAUAUAACCGCUGAUAUCUGUGUGGUAAGUGCUUAUGAGGUGUAUUUCUGUGUGCUGUUCAUUUCAGUUCAUUCAUUUACCCAAAUUCUGCUCUAAUUCACGUAUCCAGACACAUCCACUCGCAAACUUCUUAUCCAACCUCCUAUACCUCAUCUAAUACGCUGUAAACCUCCUAAAAUCCUCGAAAUUGGAAUUUAAAUCCUUAAUGUAACUCAACAAACUUUUAUUCACCCCAUUAAUAACCUCUACACUAAUGUAUCUCCCCCGGCCUCCAAUUUAACAGCUGCUCGUCUAAUGAUCAAAUCUCCUCACGUCUAAUCAUCUCUAAUCAUUCCAUUUAUGUAAACACCCCAAAAUUCCUCCUUAUAAUCACACACUGUAAUACACACACUGAAAUACACACACUGUAAUACACACACUGUACUACACACACACACACACAUUGUACUACACACACACACUGUACUACACACACUGUAAUACACACACUGUAAUACACACACACACACUGUACUACACACACACACUGUACUACACACACUGUAAUACACACACACAGUACAACACACACUGUAAUACACACACUGUAAUACACACACUGUAAUACACACACUGUAAUACACACACUGUAAUACACACACGCUGUACUACACACACACACACUGUACUACACACACUGUAAUACACACACAC